rnacentral:lncRNA from 1 species
GAAAACUCAGUCAGCUAAUCCUACCAUAGUAGCCCUUAAGAACGAUGUAGAACAGAGAGUUAGCUUAGAAUUUUGAGUUUCUGCCGAUGGGUUACUCCGAUUCUAGGACAUGGUGUGUGUUCUAGGUGACAGUGAGUUAAAGAGAAAUAUCAUGACAGAGGCCCAUAACUCAAAGUUUGUCAUGCAUCCUAGAAGCACUAAAAUG